UACCAGCACCCCGAGUGGUCGGGACGUUUAUUGGGCCUAAAGCAUCCGUAGCCGGUUCUACGAGUCUUCCGUUAAAUCCAACUGCUUAACAGGUGGGCUGCGGAAGAUACUAUAGAGCUAGGAGGCGGGAGAGGCAAGCGGUACUCGAUGGGUAGGGGUAAAAUCCGUUGAUCCAUUGAAGACCACCAGUGGCGAAGGCGGCUUGCCAGAACGCGCUCGACGGUGAGGGAUGAAAGCUGGGGGAUCAAACCGG
rnacentral:rRNA from 1 species